ACACAUGCAGUCGAGCGGGGUNGNANUGUAGCUUGCUACAUUGGCCUAGCGGCGGACGGGUGAGUAAUGCUUAGGAAUCUGCCUAUUAGUGGGGGACAACAUUCCGAAAGGAAUGCUAAUACCGCAUACGCCCUACGGGGGAAAGCAGGGGAUCUUCGGACCUUGCGCUAAUAGAUGAGCCUAAGUCAGAUUAGCUAGUUGGUGGGGUAAAGGCCUACCAAGGCGACGAUCUGUAGCGGGUCUGAGAGGAUGAUCCGCCACACUGGGACUGAGACACGGCCCAGACUCCUACGGGAGGCAGCAGUGGGGAAUAUUGGACAAUGGGCGCAAGCCUGAUCCAGCCAUGCCGCGUGUGUGAAGAAGGCCUUUUGGUUGUAAAGCACUUUAAGCGAGGAGGAGGCUACUGAGAUUAAUACUCUUGGAUAGUGGACGUUACUCGCAGAAUAAGCACCGGCUAACUCUGUGCCAGCAGCCGCGGUAAUACAGAGGGUGCGAGCGUUAAUCGGAUUUACUGGGCGUAAAGCGUGCGUAGGCGGCUUUUUAAGUCGGAUGUGAAAUCCCUGAGCUUAACUUAGGAAUUGCAUUCGAUACUGGGAAGCUAGAGUAUGGGAGAGGAUGGUAGAAUUCCAGGUGUAGCGGUGAAAUGCGUAGAGAUCUGGAGGAAUACCGAUGGCGAAGGCAGCCAUCUGGCCUAAUACUGACGCUGAGGUACGAAAGCAUGGGGAGCAAACAGGAUUAGAUACCCUGGUAGUCCAUGCCG
rnacentral:rRNA from 2 species